AAGAGUCAUUAGGAUACUAUUUCUAUAUUUUGAAAGAUCACAAUGUGAUUGUGAAUCGACAUGCUAUUUUUUUUGAAAAAUAGUUUAUUCAAGAUGGUGGCAUCGAAAGAAUAAUUAAGCUCAAGGAGAAUGUCUCCCAAGAUCAACGAGCUAAGGAACCUGAGGAACCAAAUCAAUUAGAACCAGUCCUAACACAACCUCUUCCACCUCGUAGAUUGACUAAGGUUUUUCGUCCU
rnacentral:lncRNA from 1 species